CCUACGUGUGGCUGCAGUGAGGAAUAUUGGUCAAUGGACGAGAGCCUGAACCAGCCAAGUCGCGUGAGUGAGUAAUGCUCUAUGGGUGGUAAGCCUCUUUUGUCGGGGAGCAAAAGCCGGACGUGUCCGGCUUUGAAAGUACCCGAAGAAAGAGCAUCGGCUAACUACGUGCCAGCAGCCGCGGUCAUAGGGAGGAUGCGAGCGUUAUGCGGAUUUAUUGGGUUUAAGGGGUGCGCAGGCGGAUGUUUAAGUAUGCGGUCAAAUCUUGGGGCUUAACCCCAUCCAGCCGUUGACACUGGGGAUCUAGAGUGUGCGAGAGGUAUGCGGAAUGCGUGGUGUAGCGGUGAAAUGCAUAGAUAUCACGCAGAACCCCGAUUGCGAAGGCAGCAUACCGGUGCACAACUGACGCUCAGGCACGAAAGCGUGGGUAUCGAACAGGAUUAGAUACCCGUGUAGUC
rnacentral:rRNA from 1 species